rnacentral:rRNA from 1 species
UACAGAGGUCUCAAGCGUUGUUCGGAUUCAUUGGGCGUAAAGGGUGCGUAGGCGGCGCGGUAAGUCGGGUGUGAAAUCUCGGAGCUUAAACUCCGAAACUGCAUUCGAUACUGCCGUGCUUGAGGACUGGAGAGGAGACUGGAAUUUACGGUGUAGCGGUGAAAUGCGUAGAUAAUCGUAAGGAAGACCAGUGGCGAAGGCGGGUCUCUGGACAGUUCCUGACGCUGAGGCACGAAGGUCAGGGGAGCAAACGGG